GGCCUCUGAAAUGCACCAAACAGAAAACCGUGAGUUGGAAUGGAACAGUCGUAUUGAAAACAUAUAUAACAUUGACAAGUUCCGUUGAAAUGGCAAAUAUGGAUGUGCUGAUACAAUAUUCUAUCUGCGGAAAUCAUUUUAAAGAUAAUGCAGGUAAAUGAAAUAAAAAGUUAAAAGCUGGAGCCAUGUUUCUUAUCAAUGAAAACCCCUCUAACAAUUCAAGAUCCAUGAAACUCUCAGGCGGAUCUAGGGAUGGAGGAGGUAUAGAACCCUCUCUAGGAGGACUAUUAUUGAUUACUUAGCAACAAUUAUAGCCCGAUAGUAUCUGCUUACUGCAACUACUGAUCCAUAACACGUCAUGGAUACAAUCAGGCGGCAUAGAUCCAUUAUUGCAUAUCAUAGGCAUGUAAUACUGUUCCAUUACUGCAUACCAUAGGCAUGUAAUACUGCUCCAUUACUGCAUACCAUAGGCAUGUAAUACAUAGAGAAUAAUACAUGGCAAAAUCUGUAUCACACUCCAUAUCAACCCGAGACUCCAAUAUCAGCCCGAGACUCCAAUAUCAGCCCGAGGGUCGUAGGCCCGAGGGCUGAUAUUGGUUGAGGGUUGAUAUGGAGUGUAAUACAGAUUUUGCUAUGUAUUCAUUUGUCGUUUUUAAUAUAUAUUUGAAAAUAAUUGAUUUAAGGGCUCAUUAACGGAUAAAAGUUAAAAACAACGAUUACUAUUUUUGAAUGAUUUAAGAUAUUUAUUGAAUACAUGUACCGGUAUAUGACAUAAGAUAGCAUUGUGAAUAAACUAUUUCAAUUCUUUUAGUUUUUUAAAUACAGUCUACUCUGGAUAUAAUGAAAUCCAGGGGACCGACCUGAAUUGUUCAUUAUAUCCAAAGUUCAAUAUAACCAAUGCUGAACUACACAAAUAUUGCUACUGGGGGAUUUAUUUUACCUUCAAUAUAACAGAUAGUUCAAUAUAACCGACUUCAAUAUAAGUGGAGUGGACUGUAUUACAAUUUGUUAAGAAUUAUUGUUACAUUUUGAACAACUCUAUCAAUUCCUCAAGUUCUUCAAUUCUCCUCGCUAACGAUUCCAACGUUCUCUCGCCCAUCUAUUUCUAUCUUUCUCUAUUUGUUUACAAAAUUACAUCGUCUGCUUCCAAGCGGAAAAAGUCCGAGGUACUCCCAAUGAAAAUUACAGAGGUGUUCCAGAAACGUACGAUGAGGGGUGAAAUAAAGGGUACUGAUACAGGGUGUGUAAUAAAGGGCGCGUGCCGGUGUUCAUAUCAGGGAUGCAGAAAUCCUGUAUUAUAUAACAAAUCUAUAAUAAAGAUAUAUUACUGCAUAUCACAGGCAUGUAAUACAGAUCCAUAAUACAUAAAGGUCACGGGCAUGUGGCGAGUUUCAUACAAAAUGAUACAACCCUUGUGGGAACCUCGGUUGUUUUCAAAUCAUUUGUUCACUGGUCUACAAUAUUCUAGUGUAGAUAUUGGUAAAAAGAAAUCUUUGCUUUUAUUGGUUUUAUGAUAUACAACACUGUUAUCUUUAAUGUACUUUUUUGUGUUGAACCAAAAAACAAGGGCCGCCAGAAUUAUUUAGAAUAUGAAUGUAACUUAGACUCCUAUUGAUAAUUUUAGUGUUCUUAAAUGGAUGCUUGUUCGUGAUUAGUCGAUAAAUAGAAAGCUUGUGUUUGCUUUUAAGGUUCUGAAAAAUAGGACACCAGAAUAUAUGAAAGUUUUUAGUUUUAUCAACCAAUUCAGUACUAGGGAAACAAGUAAUAGUGAUCGUUGCAUGUUAUCUUUAACAAAAGUUCGAACUGAACAUUUUAUAAACGGAACGAACCACUAUUCUAUGGAAUCUGUUGCCCGAGUCUAUCAGAACCUAAAGUUCUCUUGCAUCUUUUAAAUCAGCACAUUUGCAGCAUUAUGAUUUGAACAAGUGAUAUGAUAUUUUUGAGCUACCUUAUCUUUUAUUGCAGAGAACUUAUUGAUAUAUUUCAAUGAUAUCAUAUUUGAUGUAUAUAUUUAUAAUUUAUACUAUUUAUUGUAAUCUGUCUUUGAAUGUUUUAUAGAGGCCGCAAUUUGAAUAAGUCAAUUAAUACUAUUUGUGCUAUCCAGUCUAAAUAAAAUAAUUAGUUAUCAUUAUAAUUAUUAUGAUGUUAUUAUCAAGUAUGUAUUUAAUGCAAUAAAUCAUGCAUAUGUUUUUUUCUUCUUAUAUCGCACAUCAUAUUAACCCUAGGGUGAUAUGCAGAAUAAGGUUUGUAUUAUUCUCCGUGAAUAUACUAUGGACCCCUAUAGUAGUCCCAGACCCGUGGAUAGAAACCCUAGAUCUGUACGCACUAUCAUUAAGAAUUAAGUUAUCCCGUAACAAUCAACAAUAUAUAUAUUUGAUUAAAAUCGAGCAGGUAAACCCUGACUACCAUUCACACAAUCUUUAUGCAGUCUUAUUUAUUUAUAAAUUUAGUUGAUUGAAAUAUAAAUCAACAUUUCAAAGAGGAAAAUAAAUUAUUAUAAGACAAAAAAAAAUUAAAUUGACGCGGAUGUCAAUAACGAUUGGUACUCAAACAUGUUCAUGUAAUUAGGUGUAGCUGGUCACAACAAUCGUGAUACGAUCCAUGUGUACACUGAUUGAUUCAUAGUUGGCAGAAAAACCAGAAAUAUUGGUAACCAUGGCAGAAGAAUAUUUAAGCAAACACGUACAAGUACAUACAUGUAUAUUCCUUUGUUUUGCACAAAAGUCUAAACAAAUCUAAGCAUUGUUAAUUUUGCUAUAACUGUUUUUGGUUUUUUUAAGUCAUUAUUAAAUUCAUUUGUUUCAUUUUGAAAUAAUCGUUGAAUAUGGCCAUAAUUACUAGAAAAGUAUCACUUUACAUAACAAAUAUGUAGAGAUAAAAUCACUUUACAACUAACACAAACACGUGGGCACUGUUAUAUUAAUUCACACCAUGUGUACAAACUGAUGUACACGAGAUAAAGCACGAUGCGCGUGCGUGCGUGUGCGGUGUGUAGGCGCAGUCUCCUUGUAAGGUUGCUGGAUAUCGCGGUGUUUGAACUCUUGCCAAGGAAUGUAAUCUCAUAUCUUGUCUGUUUAUAUUGCACAGAUUUCUGCGCAUCAAAAUUAUUAUUAAUAUUUUUUUUAAUCUAUAAAGACGAAUUAUUUAUGCAUGUACUUACAUCACACUGUUCAUUAAAUAUCUAGAUUUAUGUUUAUUUUACUGAGGGGUGACAGCUUUUAAGAAAUGACGUCACAAUCGUAUCUAGUCCCCCGCAGAGAGAAAACAUAUCUAUACCGGUACAAUUUCACCAAUCUACACCCAUACUCUCAUAUUGUUCCAUUAUCUGUCGGCAACGAACACUAACUAAAAAUAAAUUACUAUACUCUCUACUGAAUUUCGACACAUGCGUAAGAUAGCUCCAUAUUUUUUUUUUGUCUGAGCUGUACGUAAAUCCAGCACACGAACUCCACACUGCACAUUUGUCUGAGAGUUUUGGGAUCCUUAAAAAAACUAAUUCCAUGCUGUUAACGGGUGAAAGUAUUAAAGGAUGACACACAACUCCCCAUACCUUCGAUUUCUUCCUUGGAAAGCUUCGACUGCAAAGCAAUAAUGCUUAGAUAUAAUCGGACUUGUGGAAAUUAUGGGUGCAGUUUACAUUAAUAUAGACUAUUCCAUGCAGAAACUGUAAGUCAUAUAAAUGACUAAAAAAACUGUCAUUUUCUGUCAUUGAGUUCUGAAGCUCUUCUAAAACGAUAUAUUACUGAAGACCUCCAAAUGUAAAACAAAAUAAUUUUCAUUAAGUUUCUUGAUAAUUGUUUUCCUGAUACAAAGCAACUAUAAUUUUGAACGGUAAAAUGAUGGUAAUUUCUCAGCGCGUUUUGUGUGCAUUUAACUUUGCAUGCACUGAUAUAUAUAAUAAUAUUAAAUGAAUACGAACAUUGAAAGUGUAAGUAAUUCUAACUUACCAUUAUAUUGCUGUAUGACACUGCCGCCCGAAGUGAAUGCUACAGGAUCGGAAUGCUGAAUAUCUGUAGAU